rnacentral:rRNA from 1 species
GACGAACGCUGGCGGCGUGCUUAACACAUGCAAGUCGAACGAAGUGGCGAACGGGUGAGUAAUACGUGGGUAACCUGCCCUCCUUUUUAGGAUAAGCCUUGGAAACGGGGUCUAAUACCGAAUAAAGGGGGAUGGGCUCGCGGCCUAUCAGCUUGUUGGUGGGGUUAUGGCCGACCAAGGCGGUGACGGGUAGCCGGCCUGAGAGGGGGACCGGCAAAAUUGGGAAGGGGAUACGGCCCAGGCUACUACGGGAGGCAGCAGUGGGGGAUAUUGGACAAUGGGCGAAAGCAUGAUGCAGCGGCGCCUGCGGGGGGAUGAAGGCUUGCAGGUUGGUAACCUUUGUCGCUAACGAAAGGGUAGGUGGAGAAGAAGCGCCGGCUAACUACGUGCCAGCAGCCGCGGUAAUAC